rnacentral:rRNA from 1 species
GAUGAACGCUGGCGGCGUGCCUAAUACAUGCAAGUCGAGCGAACAGACGAGGAGCUUGCUCCUCUGACGUUAGCGGCGGACGGGUGAGUAACACGUGGAUAACCUACCUAUAAGACUGGGAUAACUUCGGGAAACCGGAGCUAAUACCGGAUAAUAUAUUGAACCGCAUGGUUCAAUAGUGAAAGACGGUUUUGCUGUCACUUAUAGAUGGAUCCGCGCCGCAUUAGCUAGUUGGUAAGGUAACGGCUUACCAAGGCAACGAUGCGUAGCCGACCUGAGAGGGUGAUCGGCCACACUGGAACUGAGACACGGUCCAGACUCCUACGGGAGGCAGCAGUAGGGAAUCUUCCGCAAUGGGCGAAAGCCUGACGGAGCAACGCCGCGUGAGUGAUGAAGGUCUUCGGAUCGUAAAACUCUGUUAUUAGGGAAGAACAAAUGUGUAAGUAACUAUGCACGUCUUGACGGUACCUAAUCAGAAAGCCACGGCUAAUUACGU